ACUAAGUUGUUCUUGUUCUCACACUCUAGUCUCCUGAUGUCUCAGAGAGGUGUGGGGAAAGAUACACACAUUUCUCAUGCCAGAAGAUGCAUGCCAGUGGAUCUAAAGAAGUCUAAUGUGAACAAAGAGAAGAGUCUUCAAAUAUCUGACUUAUAUAUUCUUCCUGGGAUUUUGGAUAUAAUCAGUGAAAACAACAGAAUGCCCUUUUAUUGGCUACUCAAACAGCCUGAGCUGUGUUUCCAUUCAUGAUGUAACUUUCAAAGUGAAUUUACAAAGCAACUGGAUUCACAUGCUGGUGUCCCAACCUCGUUUUAAUAGAAUGUUCUGCUUGUGGCCCUCACAAACUCCCCACUGCUUGCUGAGGUGGAUUAAAAGAUGCAAACUCACUGAAAUACGCCAAAGAAUAUAAUGGUCUCUACAGAAGAUCUGGCUGUGUCAACCAACAAAAAGUUCCAGCUGUGGCCGCUGUGUGGAACAAAGGGAACUCUUGGCUUAACAUGGAGUGCAUGCUUCUGACGUUCCAGUUCAGGCAAGAAAUAAAUAAAGCUAUUACAAAGCCC
rnacentral:lncRNA from 9 species